rnacentral:RNase_P_RNA from 1 species
GAAGGGGAAGAGGUGGCCGCUCCUCGUCAUCGCCCGUAAGGGGAGAUGAUCGGGGGGAGGAAAGUCCGAGCUCCGCAGGGCAGGGUGGUCCGUAACGCGGACGGUCCCAUCUCCAAAGAGAUGGGAUAAGGAAAGUGCCACAGAAAAAAUACCGUCCACCGAAGCUUUAGCGUAGGUGGGUAAGGGUGAAAAGGCGAGGUAAGAGCUCACCAGUGCACUGAGUGAUCGGGGCAGCUUGGCAAACCCCAUCCGGAGCAAGACCAAAUAGGUCCCGUUUCUCCCACGAUAUGCGGGGAGAUAAGAAAAGCCCAUUCAAAUUUAUUCCGUAAACGGAGUAAAGGCGGGACGGGUAAGGUCGCUUGAGGCCCUGAGCAAUCAGGAUCCCAGAUAAAUGGCCAUCAUUCCGAUCCCGCCUGUCGGCGGGAUCGGAAUACAGAACUCGGCUUAUGGUCCCCUUCGAUU